CAACUAUGUUUUACUAAGACAUCCUAUACAAACAACUAGCCACUAUACAGAGUGCCUUACUUGCUUCCGUUUACAAGUGUUGUUUAACUUAUUUGCUGAACUGGAAAACUGACCAAUCUAUAAAUGAUAUUUGGUCCCACAAAUAAAUGGUUGCACUAGUUGAUUGCCUAAAAUACAGCAAACCAAUGCCACUGACACGGGGCAUCAGACUUGUAAAUUUCCUAAAUGCAAGGGUGAAGAACUCACAGGCAAGCAAUAUUAUUCCAAGCCUC
rnacentral:lncRNA from 1 species